AGAGAGAGACAUGCGCGCAUAUCAAUAAGCGGAGGAAAAGAAACUAACAAGGAUUCCCCUAGUAACGGCGAGUGAAGCGGGAAGAGCUCAAAUUUGAAAUCUUCAAGGUUCUACCUUGACGAAUUGUAGUUUACAGAAGUGUUUUCUGUUAGUGGAGUGGCAAAAGUUCUUUGGAAUAGGACAUCAUAGAGGGUGAGAAUCCCGUAUUUGGUCAUUCCUCCUAGCGUUGUGAUACACUUUCAACGAGUCGGAUUGUUUGGGAAUGCAGUCCAAAAUGGGUGGUAAAUUUCAUCUAAAGCUAAAUAUUGGCGAGAGACCGAUAGCGAACAAGUACCGUGAGGGAAAGAUGAAAAGAACUUUGAAAAGGAGAGUUAAACAGUACGUGAAAUUGUCAAAAGGGAAGCGUUUGACACCAGUGUUGUUUUUUCCGAAAAUCAAUUACGAAUGUUUUAUUUUUGAGGAGUUAUGACUUCAUCGGCUUGCUCCUUUCUUUACUGAAACUUUCUUAAUGCACUUUUCGGUUAACAAGUCAACAUCAAUUUCUUUUGUUGUAAAAGGGUAUGAGGAAGGUGGCUUUCUUUUCGGAGAAAGUGUUUAUAGCCUUGUGCCUCUGCAAUCGGAGAGAUUGAGGUCUGCAGCGUAGAUCCCUUCGGGGUUAGAUACAUUUGUGCUAAGUUAUAGCUUUUCAUAGACAACUUGUUGACUAUGUUUAGUCUUGUAGCUUACUCGCUGACGCUAUUUUACCUACGCUUAGGAUGUUGAUAGUCACAGCGUGUAC
rnacentral:rRNA from 1 species